rnacentral:lncRNA from 1 species
AGAAUUUGUUGAAACAUUGUUGAUGUAAGUCGUUAGGGAAGAUGUUGUACAACUUAUUUGAAAGAUAAGUAAAUCAUAUCAAACUAAAGGGAAGCUGUGCCACAUUCGAAAAAACAAAUCCAAGAAGACAGAGAAGGUAAAACAUGGGAAAGUCAUACAGUUGCUUUCACCUUUUGUAUCUCUCCGGUAUCAACUUGCUUUUUUUCUUUUUUUUUUUCUAAUUAUCAGAGAUUCUGGGCCGAAGCCCGUAAUCCCCCUAAAUCCAAAACCACAACAUGUAAUAUUAGUUUCGUCCCAAAAGUUACUGAAGACAUCGAAGAUCGGCAGGAUAGAAUACAUACACAAAUUAAAUAAAAUAUAUAAAACGAAUCGGAAAUGUAUUAAAAAGAACAGGAAAAACAACAUCAAAUCGUCAUCUUACUUGAGGAACGUUAGACCAGCAUUGAUAAUUUUAGAUAAACUAAAUGAAAAGUGAUAUUUAGGACAUUUGCAUAGAGAAUUGAAAUACGUUAGACCGGCAUUGCUUUCAGUGUUAACACCAAUUCCAAGAUCUGCAUAAUAGAAAACAAAAAAAAAAAACAAAAUUUUAAAAAAAAAACUGAAUCGGAAGUGUGUUAGAAAGAAACAUGAAAAACAAAUUGCAGUGGUCUUACUUGGAAGAACAAAUAUUGACAAAAUU